rnacentral:tRNA from 1 species
GUUUCUAUGGUGUAAAAUGCACAUUAGAUUUUCAUUCUAAAGGGAUAAAAUUAUUUUAUUAGGAAUA